rnacentral:lncRNA from 1 species
AGGUUUGAAAAUUUGCUUUUAUGCAAUGACAGAGUCUUGCUGUGUCACCAGGCUGGAGUGCAGUGGCGCGAUCUCAGCUCACUGCAACCUCCGCCUCUUGGGUUCAAGCGAUUCUCCUGCCUCAACCUCCUGCGUAGCUGGGACCACAGCCAUGCGCCACCACGACAAGCUAAUUUUUGUAUUUUUGGUAGAGAUAGAGUUUCACCAUGUUGGCCAGGAUGGUCUUGAUCUCCUGACUUCAUGAUACGCCCACCUCGGCGGAUCCCAAAGUACAUCAGUUUUUUUCAGUUUGUUGUUUUCAUGUUGUAUUUUAUGUCUUUCAAUUUUCUGUUUUAAGAGUGUCACCUAUAAAGCACGUUUUUUUGUUUGUUUGUUUGCUUUUUACUGAGUUUGACAAUCUUAGUGACAACUGAAGUAUUUAGUCUAUGGUGAAUCAUAAUAAUUACUAAAAUAGUGGGGUUUUAAUUAGCCAUAUAACUAUGUUUUUAGUUCACCUAUUCCUUGUUUUCUUUUUUAAUUUUUAUCUCUUCAACAGCUUUUGAAUUAAUAAUUUUUUUCUUUAUUUGGUUUCUUAGUU